UUAUGGCCACAUCACAUUGAAAACACCGGUUCGUGGGCGAUCACCGAAGGUAAGCAACGUCUAGCCUCAGCAGUACCUAGAUGGAUGACCGCUUGGGAAUAACAGGUGCUGUAAG